GAGAGGUGUUUAGAACACUAAGA
rnacentral:tRNA from 1 species